rnacentral:rRNA from 1 species
GACGAACGCUGGCGGCGUGCUUAACACAUGCAAGUCGAACGGAAAGGCCCUGCUUUUGUGGGGUGCUCGAGUGGCGAACGGGUGAGCAACACGUGAGUAACCUGCCCUUGACUUUGGGAUAACUUCAGGAAACUGGGGCUAAUACCGGAUAGGAGCUCCUGCUGCAUGGUGGGGGUUGGAAAGUUUCGGCGGUUGGGGAUGGACUCGCGGCUUAUCAGCUUGUUGGUGGGGUAGUGGCUUACCAAGGCUUUGACGGGUAGCCGGCCUGAGAGGGUGACCGGCCACAUUGGGACUGAGAUACGGCCCAGACUCCUACGGGAGGCAGCAGUGGGGAAUAUUGCACAAUGGGCGGAAGCCUGAUGCAGCAACGCCGCGUGCGGGAUGACGGCCUUCGGGUUGUAAACCGCUUUCGCCUGUGACGAAGCGUGAGUGACGGUAAUGGGUAAAGAAGCACCGGCUAACUACGUGCCAGCAGCCGCGGUGAUACGUAGGGUGCGAGCGUUGUCCGGAUUUAUUGGGCGUAAAGGGCUCGUAGGUGGUUGAUCGCGUCGGAAGUGUAAUCUUGGGGCUUAACCCUGAGCGUGCUUUCGAUACGGGUUGACUUGAGGAAGGUAGGGGAGAAUGGAAUUCCUGGUGGAGCGGUGGAAUGCGCAGAUAUCAGGAGGAACACCAGUGGCGAAGGCGGUUCUCUGGGCCUUUCCUGACGCUGAGGAGCGAAAGCGUGGGGAGCGAACAGGCUUAGAUACCCUGGUAGUCCACGCUGUAAACGGUGGGUACUAGGUGUGGGGUCCAUUCCACGGGUUCCGUGCCGUAGCUAACGCUUUAAGUACCCCGCCUGGGGAGUACGGCCGCAAGGCUAAAACUCAAAGGAAUUGACGGGGCCCCGCACAAGCGGCGGAGCAUGCGGAUUAAUUCGAUGCAACGCGUAGAACCUUACCUGGGUUUGACAUGGAUCGGGAGUGCUCAGAGAUGGGUGUGCCUCUUUUGGGGUCGGUUCACAGGUGGUGCAUGGCUGUCGUCAGCUCGUGCCGUGAGAUGUUGGGUUAAGUCCCGCAACGAGCGCAACCCUUGUUCACUGUUGCCAGCACGUUAUGGUGGGGACUCAGUGGAGACCGCCGGGGUCAACUCGGAGGAAGGUGGGGAUGACGUCAAGUCAUCAUGCCCCUUAUGUCCAGGGCUUCACGCAUGCUACAAUGGCUGGUACAGAGAGUGGCGAGCCUGUGAGGGUGAGCGAAUCUCGGAAAGCCGGUCUCAGUUCGGAUUGGGGUCUGCAACUCGACCUCAUGAAGUCGGAGUCGCUAGUAAUCGCAGAUCAGCAACGCUGCGGUGAAUACGUUCCCGGG